rnacentral:lncRNA from 1 species
GGGGGGGUUUUGAAAGGUUUGUGGUGAAUACGGAUGAAUUAAAUCAAAACACUGACGCAAACAGAUAACUGAACACAGAUAUAAAAACGGUUUCAAAGACAGAAUGGAAAUUGUUGGUCAUUAACUUAAUUACAAUGCUUCCUAUCACAGAUCAACAAAAUAAGGCCGACUCAACCUCUAAUCCAACACAAUUAAUCAACUAAGCGCAGN